rnacentral:rRNA from 1 species
AACGAACGCUGGCGGCAGGCUUAACACAUGCAAGUUGAACGGUAUUGUGAUGUGCUUGCACAUUAUGAGAGAGUAGCGCACUGGUGAGUAACACGUGGGAACAUGCCCUUAAGUAAGGAACAACAGAUGGAAAUGACUGCUAAUACUAUAUACGAACUGAGGGGGAAAGAUUUAUCGCUUAAGGAUUGGCCCGCGGCAGAUUAGGUAGUUGGUGGGGUAACGGCCUACCAAGCCGACGAUCGAUAGCUGGUCUGAGAGGACGAUCAGCCACAUUGGAACUGAGACACUGUCCAGACUCCUACGGGAGGCAGCAGUGGGUAAUAUUGGGCAAUGGAGGGAACUCUGACCCAGCCAUGCCGCGUGAGUGAAGAAGGUCUUCGGAUUGUAAAGCUCUUUCGGUCGAGACGAUGAUGACGGUAUCGACUAAAGAAGCCCCGGCAAACUUCGUGCCAGCCGCCGCGGUAA